GUCUACAGCCACACCACCCUGAAUGCGUCUGAUCUUGUCUGAUCUCGGAAGCUAAGCAGGGUUGGACCUGGUUAGUACUUGGAUGGGAGAAAAUAAAUGAAACCUAUAAAUGCAAAGU
rnacentral:rRNA from 1 species